AUUGAACGCUGGCGGCAGGCCUAACACAUGCAAGUCGAGCGGAGCGGCGGACGGGUGAGUAAUGCCUGGGAAUCAGCCUGGUAGUGGGGGAUCACGUAGGGGAAGGGGCCCCUAUGCCGCAGACUUUCAGAUGGGCCUAGGUUGGAGUAGCUAGUUGGUGGGGUAAAGGCUUACCAAGGCGACGAUCCGUAGCUGGGCUGAGAGGAUGAUCAGUCACACUGGAACUGAGACACGGUCCAGACUCCUACGGGAGGCAGCAGUGGGGAAUCUUGGGCAAUGGGCGAAAGCCUGAUCCAGCCAUGCCGCGUGAGUGAAGAAGGUCUUCGGAUUGUAAAGCACUUUAGGUUGGGAAGCGGUACCAACAGAAUAAGCACCGGCUAACUUCGUGCCAGCAGCCGCGGUAAUAC
rnacentral:rRNA from 1 species